rnacentral:rRNA from 1 species
GUAAUACGGAGGAUGCAAGCGUAAUCCGGAUUUAUUGGGUUUAAAGGGUGCGCAGGCGGGUUUNUAAGUCAGUGGUGAAAUACUGCCGCUUAACGGUAGAAUUGCCAUUGANACUAGGAAUCUUGAGUGUGGUUGAGGUAGNCGGAAUGUGUAGUGUACCGGUGAAAUGCAUAGAUAUACCACAGAACACCGAUUGCGGAGGCAGCUUACUAAGCCAUAACUGACGCUGAGGCACGAAAGCGUGGGGAGCGAACAGGAUUGGAUACCCUGGUAGUCCACGCUGUAAACGAUGUUCACUCGCUGUUUGCGAUACACAGUAAGCGGCUGAGCGAAAGCAUUAAGUGAACCACCUGGGGAGUACGAUCGCAAGGUUGAAACUCAAAGGAAUUGACGGGGGCCCGCACAAGCGGAGGAACAUGUGGUUUAAUUCGAUGAUACGCGAGGAACCUUACCUGGGCUUAAAUGUAGACUGCAUAGGAUGGAAACAUUCUUUCCCUUCGGGGCUGUUUACAAGGUGCUGCAUGGUUGUCGUCAGCUCGUGCCGCGAGGUGUCGGGUUAAGUCCCAUAACGAGCGCAACCCUUACCGUUAGUUGCCAACAGGUCAAGCUGGGGACUCUAGCGGGACUGCCACCGUAAGGUGAGAGGAAGGUGGGGAUGACGUCAAAUCAGCACGGCCCUUAUGUCCAGGGCUACACACGUGUUACAAUGGCCGGUACAGAGGGCAGCUACCACGCAAGUGGGUGCCAAUCCCGAAAGCCGGUCCCAGUUCGGAUUGGAGUCUGCAACCCGACUUCAUGAAGUUGGAUUCGCUAGUAAUCGCGCAUCAGCCAUGGCGCGGUGAUACGUUCCCGGGCCUUGUACACACCGCCCGUCAAACCAUGGGAGCUGGGGGUGCACUGAAGUCUGUGACCGUUAAGGAGCGGCCUAGGGUAAACCAGUGAC